UCUGGUUGGUUGAAAGGCCCGUGUGUCUGGUUGGUUGAAAGGCCCGUGUGUCUGGUUGGUUGAAAGGCCCGUGUGUCUGGUUGGUUGAAAGGCCCGUGUGUCUGGUUGGUUGAAAGGCCCGUGUGUCUGGUUGGUUGAAAGGCCCGUGUGUCUGGUUGGUUGAAAGGCCCGUGUGUCUGGUUGGUUGAAAGGCCCGUGUGUCUGGUUGGUUGAAAGGCCCGUGUGUCUGAUUGGUUGAAAGGCCCGUGUGUCUGGUUGGUUGAAAGGCCCGUGUGUCUGGUUGGUUGAAAGGCCCGUGUGUCUGGUUGGUUGAAAGGCCCGUGUGUCUGGUUGGUUGAAAGGCCCGUGUGUCUGAUUGGUUGAAAGGCCCGUGUGUCUGGUUGGUUGAAAGGCCCGUGUGUCUGGUUGGUUGAAAGGCCCGUGUGUCUGGUUGGUUGAAAGGCCCGUGUGUCUGAUUGGUUGAAAGGCCCGUGUUUCUGAUUGGUUGAAAGUAUGGAUGUUAGAAGAGUAGGAGGGUAACUUUGUGGUGUGUGUUGGUGAUUCACUUCAUGGAGUGAAUGUGGUAAGAAGAGGUGCCAAAAUUACAGAGUGGCUUCAGAGCUCUAUGUCCUCUGGGUAAAAAGUUCUCGAAAUGACUGUAAUUGGCAUGUCAGCCAGCCACAGUGAACCAGAUCCACCUCCUAUGGUGACACAGGCCUCUGUGCUCCCGCAGGUUACAGACUGACAAUAACACUCCCCCAGGUUACAGACUGACAAUAACACUCCCACAGGUUACAGACUGACAAUAACACUCCCACAGGUUACAGACUGACAAUAACACUCCCACAGGUUACAGACUGACAAUAACACUCCCGCAGGUUACAGACUGACAAUAACACUCCCACAGGUUACAGACUGACAAUAACACUCCCACAGGUUACAGACUGACUAUAACACUCCCGCAGGUUACAGACUGACAAUAACACUCCCACAGGUUACAGACUGACAAUAACACUCCCACAGGUUACAGACUGACAAUAACACUCCCACAGGUUACAGACUGACAAUAACACUCCCACAGGUUACAGACUGACAAUAACACUCCCACAGGUUACAGACUGACAAUAACACUCCCACAGGUUACAGACUGACAAUAACACUCCCACAGGUUACAGACUGACAAUAACACUCCCGCAGGUUACAGACUGACAAUAACACUCCCGCAGGUUACAGACUGACAAUAACACUCCCACAGGUUACAGACUGACAAUAACACUCCCACAGGUUACAGACUGACAAUAACACUCCCGCAGGUUACAGACUGACAAUAACACUCCCGCAGGUUACAGACUGACAAUAACACUCCCGCAGGUUACAGACUGACAAUAACACUCCCGCAGGUUACAGACUGACAAUAACACUCCCGCAGGUUACAGACUGACAAUAACACUCCCGCAGGUUACAGACUGACAAUAACACUCCCACAGGUUACAGACUGACAAUAACACUCCCACAGGUUACAGACUGACAAUAAACACUCCCGCAGGUU